CCUACGGGAGGCAGCAGUGGGGAAUAUUGCACAAUGGGCGAAAGCCUGAUGCAGCAACGCCGCGUGAGGGACGACGGCCUUCGGGUUGUAAACCUCUUUUAGUAGGGAAGAAGCGAAAGUGACGGUACCUGCAGAAAAAGCACCGGCUAACUACGUGCCAGCAGCCGCGGUAAUACGUAGGGUGCAAGCGUUAUCCGGAAUUAUUGGGCGUAAAGAGCUCGUAGGCGGUUUGUCACGUCUGCUGUGAAAACUGGAGGCUCAACCUCCAGCCUGCAGUGGGUACGGGCAGACUAGAGUGCGGUAGGGGAGAUUGGAAUUCCUGGUGUAGCGGUGGAAUGCGCAGAUAUCAGGAGGAACACCGAUGGCGAAGGCAGAUCUCUGGGCCGUAACUGACGCUGAGGAGCGAAAGCAUGGGGAGCGAACAGGAUUAGAUACCCUGGUAGUCCAUGCCGUAAACGUUGGGAACUAGAUGUAGGGGCCAUUCCACGGCUUCUGUGUCGCAGCUAACGCAUUAAGUUCCCCGCCUGGGGAGUACGGCCGCAAGGCUAAAACUCAAAGGAAUUGACGG
rnacentral:rRNA from 1 species